CCUUGACAGAGAAACAGACGAAGUGGUUAGAACUAGUUCGCCUGUAACUUCAAAGAUGCAAUAAUCGUACGUCGAAAGGAAUAAGGUGAGUUAUUAGUCGCUGGGGCACUCUGUGCCUCCAGCUACUAUAGGUUUCGGCUUCAUCGCGGAUUGUUGGUCACAAAAUGACCUACGUCAUUUUUUUGUCAAACAUUACGUCAUUACUUUCAGUCGCUGGAUUCAAGAUGGCCGCCUAUUUGGGAGCGUAUUUGGAAAUAAUUUCAUCGAUUUUGUGCAUAUUUUCUUCAUUUUUUCGAUGAAACUUAAUAGUUUUCCCAUCAGCCAGACUCUAUAAACCGAAAGUCAUCUUAUAUGAGUAAACUUGGAAGGCUGGAAGCCUGAAAUAGACGACAAAAGUUCACAAUUUUCACAAAGUUGGAACUUCGUAAAUUGCAACAAUAUUCGCAAGUUGCUGUUUAUUUGGAUGUAAAUAGAAUCUGCUUAAUGGGACAAGGGUUUAAUAGAGCUUGUUGCCUUGCUGGCAAAUGAUAUUUUAAAAGCUCUCAGGACAGCUGUUAUCUCACAAUAGGUAUUGUACAAUUCAAACACACAGAACAUAUUAAUUUGUAUAAUAGAUAAAUUUGGCAAAGUUAGUUACAUUGUUGCUAUGCAAUUCACAACUUUAAAUAUUCAUGCCUAGUUAGUGUUCUACUGUCAGUAGUUCACACAUAGAACAGAACAGAGGUAACUAAGCAUUUGAUAAGCCCUAUACACUAUAAAAGUCAUUCAUUCAUUCAUGUAGCUAAAUAAUUCUAAAGCUUAGUUAUCUUUGCUCUACUCUAUGCUUCAGUACACCAGAACAAUGAUACUUAAGGCUGCAUUCCAGUUUCACAGGUGCGUACAUGUGCGUACACGCACGUAAAAGUUGAAUUCGCUUAAAAUUUCAUAUAAGUGCAAAUAACCUUUAUUAACAAAUACACAUUAAAUCAUACACAAAACUGAAUGCUGUCCUUUUAUAAAUUUAGUUAUUUCAUAACGCGUAACUGGAAUGCAGCCUUAAGGCAUGUGACUUAUGUAAAGUUGUGAAUUGGAUAUAACCAAACUUAGACAAAUUUGUUUAUUGUCUAUAGUCCGGGGACUUGUUUGAUGAACUUUGUUCUAAUUUUUCCUUGAAUCCCAUUUUUGACAAAAACAAUUUUAUUAUAUGAACACAUAAACUUAACAAACAAAUAGCAGUCUUAAUCUCAAUCGCAUGCAGCAUAAUAUGCAAUAGCCCCAGCGACUAACGCU